rnacentral:rRNA from 1 species
AGUGAACGCUGGCGGUAGGCCUAACACAUGCAAGUCGAACGGCAGCACAGUAAGAGCUUGCUCUUACGGGUGGCGAGUGGCGGACGGGUGAGGAAUACAUCGGAAUCUACUUUUUCGUGGGGGAUAACGUAGGGAAACUUACGCUAAUACCGCAUACGACCUACGGGUGAAAGCAGGGGAUCUUCGGACCUUGCGCGAUUGAAUGAGCCGAUAUCGGAUUAGCUAGUUGGCGGGGUAAAGGCCCACCAAGGCGACGAUCCGUAGCUGGUCUGAGAGGAUGAUCAGCCACACUGGAACUGAGACACGGUCCAGACGCCUACGGGAGGCAGCAGUGGGGAAUAUGGGACAAUGGGCGCAAGCCUGAUCCAGCCAUACCGCGUGGGUGAAGAAGGCCUUCGGGUUGUAAAGCCCUUUUGUUGGGAAAGAAAAGCAGCAGGUUAAUACCCCGCUGUUCUGACGGUACCCAAAGAAUAAGCACCGGCUAACUUCGUG